rnacentral:rRNA from 1 species
AACCUGCCUUGGAUGGGGAAUAACAGCUGGAAACAGCUGCUAAUACCGCAUAAUAUGUCUGAACCGCAUGGCUCUGGACAUCAAAGAUUUAUCGCUCUGAGAUGGACUCGCGUCUGAUUAGCUAGUUGGUGGGGCAACGGCCCACCAAGGCGACGAUCAGUAGCCGGACUGAGAGGUUGGCCGGCCACAUUGGGACUGAGACACGGCCCAGACUCCUACGGGAGGCAGCAG